GCCCUCAUCAUAAUCCAAUCAUGCCAGGGGCGUAGUGCAGGCCACACCUGGUCUUUCCCUUAAACAUAACAUGUCAUACAUAUCCAAUAAUGCCGGGGGCGUAGUGCAGGCCACACCCGGACUUUCCCUUACAUAGUGCCAGGGGCGUAGUGCAGGCCACACCUGGACUUCCAUAUCAUAUCAUAUCUCAUCAUACUGAGGACCAAUGGGUCAUCCAACAUCCAUCCACAUUAACAUUAAGAUAUGCAAUGCAACAUAUUCGUGGAUUCUAAUGCAAACAACCUAAAAUAUCACAUGGCAUUCAUGAUGCAUGAAUCAUGCUGAAACGUGUA
rnacentral:lncRNA from 1 species